CCUACGGGGGGCUGCAGUGGGGAAUAUUGGACAAUGGGGGCAACCCUGAUCCAGCCAUGCCGCGUGUGUGAAGAAGGCCCUCGGGUUGUAAAGCACUUUCAGUGAGGAAGAACGCCUGGUGGUUAAUACCCAUCAGGAAAGACAUCACUCACAGAAGAAGCACCGGCUAACUCCGUGCCAGCAGCCGCGGUAAUACGGAGGGUGCGAGCGUUAAUCGGAAUUACUGGGCGUAAAGCGCGCGUAGGUGGCUUGAUAAGCCUGUUGUGAAAGCCCCGGGCUCAACCUGGGAACGGCAUCCGGAACUGUCAAGCUAGAGUGCAGGAGAGGAAGGUAGAAUUCCCGGUGUAGCGGUGAAAUGCGUAGAGAUCGGGAGGAAUACCAGUGGCGAAGGCGGCCUUCUGGACUGACACUGACACUGAGGUGCGAAAGCGUGGGUAGCAAACAGGAUUAGAUACCCCUGUAGUC
rnacentral:rRNA from 1 species